AAUGAAACAGAGCACUCAAAACUUGAGUUAUCUUUCCAACUCUCUCAGUUUAAGAUUCAUCAUUCCUUCUUGUUUACAAUUUGAUAACAUUUUUCCUCAAUGAAUAUUGCAUCAGUCUCUUCUUGCAAAAAAGUUUAGUCUCUUAAUUAUUAGUUUCUAAGAGAUCUAGCUAUAUAUGGUUACUUUCAUAUAUUUUCCUGUCGAUAAAAGAUAAGGUGGUGAUUGUUAUGGAUCCAACAAGACAGGUGUCCGAUACAAAUGCAGAUCUAGAGGUCAGAUUCUUAAUAAUCUAAAUUUAAAGAUUUGGGAUACGGAUUCAGGUGCGGAGUCUGGUGAGGGUGUUCUAGUACGGAUGCAGGUACUGGUGGUGAUUGUUAUGGAUCCAACUGGACAUGCAAGUCUAGCCUUUCCAUAGAUCUAGCCGAUUCAUUUUCUAUAAAAGUCUUGAAUAGUUGACAAACACAAGCUAAGUUGCUCAGACUCUGGUGCGGGUGUCGAAUGCAAAUGCAGGUUUAGAGGUCGGAUCCUUAAUGACUUUUAUUUAAAGAUUUGGGUGUAUGGAUCCAGGUACGAACUCUGGUGCGGGUGUCCAAGUAUGGAUACAGGUAUGGGUGGUGAUUGUUAUGGAUCCACCUAGACAAGUAAGUCUAGCCUUUCCAUAGAUCUAGUCGAUUCAUUUUCAGUAGAGGUUGUGAGUAAUUGACAAAUACAAACUAAGUUGCUCGGACUCCGGUGUGGGUGUCCGAUACAGGUACGGAUCUAGAGAUCGGAUCCUUAAUGAUCUAAAGUUGAGGUACCUUCUGAUCUUUCUC